rnacentral:rRNA from 1 species
UACGUAGGGGGCAAGCGUUGUCCGGAUUCAUUGGGCGUAAAGAGCGUGUAGGCGGCCAGGUAGGUCCGUUGUGAAAACUCGAGGCUCAACCUCGAGACGUCGAUGGAAACCAUCUGGCUAGAGUCCGGAAGAGGAGAGUGGAAUUCCUGGUGUAGCGGUGAAAUGCGCAGAUAUCAGGAAGAACACCUAUGGCGAAGGCAGCUCUCUGGGACGGUACUGACGCUGAGGCGCGAAAGCCAGGGGAGCAAACGGG